GAGACUGGGAUAACACCUGGAAACAGAUGCUAAUACCGGAUAACAACACUAGACGCAUGUCUAGAGUUUAAAAGAUGGUUCUGCUAUCACUCUUGGAUGGACCUGCGGUGCAUUAGCUAGUUGGUAAGGUAACGGCUUACCAAGGCAAUGAUGCAUAGCCGAGUUGAGAGACUGAUCGGCCACAUUGGGACUGAGACACGGCCCAAACUCCUACGGGAGGCAGCAGUAGGGAAUCUUCCACAAUGGACGCAAGUCUGAUGGAGCAACGCCGCGUGAGUGAAGAAGGGUUUCGGCUCGUAAAGCUCUGUUGGUAGUGAAGAAAGAUAGAGGUAGUAACUGGCCUUUAUUUGACGGUAAUUACCUAGAAAGUCACGGCUAACUACGUGCCAGCAGCCGCGGUAAUACGUAGGUGGCAAGCGUUGUCCGGAUUUAUUGGGCGUAAAGCGAGUGCAGGCGGUUCAAUAAGUCUGAUGUGAAAGCCUUCGGCUCAACCGGAGAAUUGCAUCAGAAACUGUUGAACUUGAGUGCAGAAGAAGAGAGUGGAACUCCAUGUGUAGCGGUGGAAUGCGUAGAUAUAUGGAAGAACACCAGUGGCGAAGGCGGCUCUCUGGUCUGCAACUGACGCUGAGGCUCGAAAGCAUGGGUAGCGAACAGGAUUAGAUACCCUGGUAGUCCAUGCCGUAAACGAUGAGUGCUAAGUGUUGGGAGGUUUCCGCCUCUCAGUGCUGCAG
rnacentral:rRNA from 1 species